rnacentral:misc_RNA from 1 species
GUAUUGAGUAUAGUGGGAUAGAUUGAGGGGACCUUUGAAAGCUAAAAUUUCUGGAGUUGCUCAAGUAUAAUGCUUCUCUUUUUUAUUUCUUCGGUUGCUUGGAAUAAAGAAAGGGACUUAUGAAUCUAUGAUAAUAGCUUGUUUUUGGAUUUUUAGAUGAACUGGUCUGGCUGUUGUUCCUCUAAGCCUUCUAAAUUGUAGAUCAUAUAUGGAUGUUCUCAAGUGCCUGUUGUUUGUAAAGUUCAAAGUUUGCAAUGCAAGAUUUCCUGUGGAGCUAUUUCAUGGGAGCCAUAUUUCAUUGUUUAUGAUAUUUUUUUUCCAGGAAAGGAAUCACUAAGGAUGUU